rnacentral:rRNA from 1 species
GGGGAAUUUUGGACAAUGGGGGAAACCCUGAUCCAGCCAUCCCGCGUGUGCGAUGAAGGCCUUCGGGUUGUAAAGCACCUUUGGCAGGAAAGAAACGUCGUGGGUUAAUACCCCGCGAAACUGACGGUACCUGCAGAAUAAGCACCGGCUAACUACGUGCCAGCAGCCGCGGUAAUACGUAGGGUGCAAGCGUUAAUCGGAAUUACUGGGCGUAAAGCGUGCGCAGGCGGUUCGGAAAGAAAGAUGUGAAAUCCCAGAGCUUAACUUUGGAACUGCAUUUUUAACUACCGAGCUAGAGUGUGUCAGAGGGAGGUGGAAUUCCGCGUGUAGCAGUGAAAUGCGUAGAUAUGCGGAGGAACACCGAUGGCGAAGGCAGCCUCCUGGGAUAACACUGACGCUCAUGCACGAAAGCGUGGGGAGCAAACA